rnacentral:rRNA from 1 species
UACGAAGGGGGCUAGCGUUGCUCGGAAUCACUGGGCGUAAAGGGUGCGUAGGCGGGUUUUUAAGUCAGGGGUGAAAUCCUGGAGCUCAACUCCAGAACUGCCUUUGAUACUGAAGAUCUUGAGUCCGGGAGAGGUGAGUGGAACUGCGAGUGUAGAGGUGAAAUUCGUAGAUAUCUGGAGGAACACCGGUGGCGAAGGCGGCAUCCUGGACCAACACUGACGCUGAGGAGCGAAAGCCAGGGGAGCAAACGGG